rnacentral:rRNA from 1 species
GACGAACGCUGGCGGCGUGCUUAACACAUGCAAGUCGAGCGGUAAGGCCCUUUCGGGGGUACGACGAGCGGCGAACGGGUGAGUAACACGUGGGUGACCUGCCCUCAGCUCUGGGAUAAGCCUGGGAAACCGGGUACUAAUACCGGAUAUGACUCCAUGACGCAUGUUGUGGGGUGGAAAGCCUUGUGCGGCUGAGGAUGGGCCCGCGGCCUAUCAGCUUGUUGGUGGGGUGAAUGGCCUACCAAGGCGACGACGGGUAGCCGCCUGAGAGGGCGACCGGCCACACUGGGACUGAGACACGGCCCAGACUCCUACGGGAGGCAGCAGUGGGGAAUCUUGCGCAAUGGGCGAAAGCCUGACGCAGCGACGCCGCGUGAGGGAUGA